CAGCCGCCGCGGUAAUACGAAGGUCCCAAGCGCUGUUCGGAAUCACUGGGCGUAAAGGGAGCGUAGGCGGCGUGGUAAGUCAGAUGUGAAAUCCCGGGGCUCAACCCCGGAACUGCAUCCGAUACUGCCAUGCUUGAGGGUUGGAGAGGUAGCUGGAAUUCUUGGUGUAGCAGUGAAAUGCGUAGAUAUCAAGAGGAACACUCGUGGCGAAGGCGAGCUACUGGACAACAUCUGACGCUGAGGCUCGAAGGUCAGGGUAGCGAAAGGGAUUAGAUACCCCAGUAGUCCCUGUCUCUUAUAC
rnacentral:rRNA from 1 species